rnacentral:misc_RNA from 1 species
AAGUCGUAACAAGGUUUCCGUAGGUGAACCUUCGGAAGGAUCAUUACCGUAACGCGGCGGUCCAGCAGCCCAAAAAACUGCUGGUCGCCACACGCGUUUAUCACCCUUGAAUUUGAGAACCUUCUGUUUCCUCGGCGGGUCCGCCCGCCAACGAGGACCCCUUGAACUCUUUGUAGUAGCAGUAUUUGUCUGAAAACAAAGUUAAAUAAUUAAAACUUUCAACAAUGGAUCUCUUGGUUCUG